UGGAUCCAGACUUUGAUUAUGGCUCAGGACGAAUGCUGGCGGCGUGCCUAAUACAUGCAAGUCGAACGAAGCUUUCUUUCACCGAAUGCUUGCAUUCACCGAAAGAAGCUUAGUGGCGAACGGGUGAGUAACACGUAGGCAACCUGCCCAAAAGAGGGGGAUAACACUUGGAAACAGGUGCUAAUACCGCAUAACCAUGAACACCGCAUGAUGUUCAUGUAAAAGACGGCUUUUGCUGUCACUUUUGGAUGGGCCUGCGGCGUAUUAACUUGUUGGUGGGGUAACGGCCUACCAAGGUGAUGAUACGUAGCCGAACUGAGAGGUUGAUCGGCCACAUUGGGACUGAGACACGGCCCAAACUCCUACGGGAGGCAGCAGUAGGGAAUCUUCCACAAUGGACGAAAGUCUGAUGGAGCAACGCCGCGUGAAUGAAGAAGGCCUUCGGGUCGUAAAAUUCUGUUGUCAGAGAAGAACGUGCGUGAGAGUAACUGUUCACGUAUUGACGGUAUCUGACCAGAAAGCCACGGCUAACUACGUGCCAGCAGCCGCGGUAAUACGUAGGUGGCGAGCGUUGUCCGGAUUUAUUGGGCGUAAAGGGAACGCAGGCGGUCUUUUAAGUCUGAUGUGAAAGCCUUCGGCUUAACCGAAGUAGUGCAUUGGAAACUGGAAGACUUGAGUGCAGAAGAGGAGAGUGGAACUCCAUGUGUAGCGGUGAAAUGCGUAGAUAUAUGGAAGAACACCAGUGGCGAAAGCGGCUCUCUGGUCUGUAACUGACGCUGAGGUUCGAAAGCGUGGGUAGCAAACAGGAUUAGAUACCCUGGUAGUCCACGCCGUAAACGAUGAGUGCUAAGUGUUGGAGGGUUUCCGCCCUUCAGUGCUGCAGCUAACGCAUUAAGCACUCCGCCUGGGGAGUACGGUCGCAAGACUGCAACUCAAAGGAAUUGACGGA
rnacentral:rRNA from 2 species